CUCUACCACGCAACAGAAGCAAACUCGUCAGUCACCGCCUGGUCUUCUCGAUGGAGGUGGAGGAGUAGGGGAUCCCGCCGGAUCAGAGGCGUGCGGGCACCGUGGUGGGCGUCUCCGGCAGCGACGGCGACCUGCAGCUACGGCGGGGGCGCUCGAUUUAGUGCAGCGCCAUGGACCGGUCCCUGCAGAAGUGAGAGAAGAUGAGGGAGAGAGAGAAGGAAGGAGAGGAGCAUCGAUGGUGGUUCGAGCGCUGCCGCCUCCAUCCUCGCACCAUCUUCGUCACACGCAGCCGCCUCCUUCCGCACCCCUCUUCUUCGCGCACGGCAACAGAGGCAAGUCCUGUCAGGGAAUAAUAUUAUUCAGGUAGCAUCUUUUUCGUGGAAGAGGAGUGAGAAUUUAAAGGUGCAUGCUACAUAGAAGCUUAGAUCUGUAAUCAAGCUGUGGAAGAGAAUACUGUAAGAGAUACUUCUAUAAGUAGAGACUUAUUGUUUUUCAUUCAGUUGAAGAGCUCUCCAUGCUUAAGAUCUUUUCUAGGAUAAUUGCGUCGUUAAAUAUGAAGGAUUCGCUCAUGUGCCAAAGCCAGCUCGGGGAAGCCUUCCUGGACUCCUGGUUGACCACGACAAUCACGACACGGUGAGUGGAUUUUGAAUCUUUCUUGAGCCGUCGGAUCGGAUUAGAUGUGUAUAUGGUAGUUAUGGACUGCUAACUGCUUAAUGUUGUGUUUCCUCUGUGUACUAUGGUGUGAGCUUAAGCGAGCAGAACGCCGAAGGAGGAUCUUGGGGAUGACGGAGGCAUCGACGACAACCUCAAAGGCGAGAGGGUUCAGGAUACUCUCUUGUGACGUUGGCUUAGGAAUAGUUAUUCGGCUCCAUUUACGAUUGGUUCAUUUCACCGUGCUCUAGCCCCGCAUAGUCCCCUCCUCCUUGGUUGCCGCUCUCGUCCUCUGACGAAGGACCAUGGGGCUUGCAGCUGUGCCUGAGCCCCCACAAGGACGUUGGGUGGAGGAUAUCCGGUGCCAACGGGCCGCUCAUGUAGGUGUCCGAGAUAUCGGAGCUGUCGGAGUCAACGGUCAUCGUCCGGAGACGGGUCGAUGGGGGAUGCUAUGAUGAAUUGGGUCUCUGUUAGAGGAAUGUAUUUUCUUGCAAACUAAAUUUGUUUUCUGGAACAUGUCUUCAUAUUUUAGAUUUUAGUAUAUGGCUUCAGAACUAUUCAUUGGAUAUACUUUGUUGAUUCUAGCCCGUGGAUAAGAAUAUUUUAGUCACUGGAGAGAUUGUUGAACAUGUGACAUUGAUGCAAAUCUCUGGCCACCUACGGGUGAAACUGCUUGAAGACCAAGUUUGAAUAUGUACGAGGGCAGUGAAUUUCGGCAUGCGAGUUUACUUGCAGUCCCUGACCCUAAUGUAAUCAGUCCCAGUAGUGAGGGAAAGGCACUGCCAACGAGGAUGUGGAGGAGAACAAGGUCGAGCCGGAUUGGUGAAGGGUGCUGAGGCUGGCUCUCUCUCCUCCUCGUCUUCGACAGUGUGAAGAAGAUCGAUGUUGAAAUGGACACAUGCUGCAGGAGAAGUAGAGGCGUCUUGUGAGCCUUGGGUUCUUCAUCGAUCUGUUUGUGCGUGCUCUUGGUCGCAUGCACGCCUAAGAGUCGAAUACUUAAGUGGUUGAGGAAAGCUUCAAAUACAACAGUGGCAAACAUCUCCAUUGAUGCUACAAAGCAUCUCGAUGAUUUUGAAGAUCGAUGGAUGGGAGGUGGGACACGAUUUUGUGUGGACACCUCUGUAUGCUCCAAGACUUAACUCUGUUGAUUUAUGGCAUGGUGAUUGGUGAUUGAUUUCGAUUGCACGGGAAUUCUGGGGAGAGCAGUGGAAAAGCUAUGGGGAACUUGUGUGUUAACGACGCUAGCAGUGAGGGUUUCUUUUGAGCUUCUCUUCGCUUCUCCUUAAUAAUCGGACCUUCCUGCUAUGCUUAGUGAAUUUCGAUAUUUUGAUGAUGCAAGCAUUGUUGUUUCUAGUGGCUGCAAGUAUUUCCUUUGGGCACAUUUUCUUCUAGCUUAAUUAGUCAGGAUCGUUGAUUUUAUAAACAACAUUCAGACUGUUCCUUGUAUUAGCAAAAAUCAGAUAAGAAUUGAAUUAUUGUACUUAAAGACAACCUGAAUGUCUUGUGCCAUGCAAAAGAGAUGCUCUGCAUUUCCUUUCA